AGAACGAACGCUGGCGGCAUGCUUAACACAUGCAAGUCGAACGAGACCUUCGGGUCUAGUGGCGCACGGGUGCGUAACGCGUGGGAAUCUGCCCUUUGCUACGGAAUAACUCAGAGAAAUUUGUGCUAAUACCGUAUGAUGUCGAAAAGACCAAAGAUUUAUCGGACAAAGGAUGACGCCCGACGUAAGAUUAGUCUUGUUGGUAGAAGUAAAGGCUACACCAAGGCGACGUAUUCUUUAGCUGGUCUAGAGAGGAUGAUCAGCCACACGUGGGACUGACGACACCGGCCAGACUCCGACGGAGCAGCGAGGUAGGGAAUAGUAGGAAC
rnacentral:rRNA from 1 species